rnacentral:tRNA from 1 species
GCCGGGAUGGCGAAACUGGUAUACGCAGAGGACUUAAAAUCCUCCGGAACCUGGUUCUGUGCGGGUUCGACUCCCGCUCCCGGCACCA